AGUGGCCAGUCCCCUCGGGGAGCACUGCUCUUGCACAUCGCAGAGUAUUAGGUGGUUUCAUUCCACUGCCAUUAGCCACAUGCCGAACACUGAUGUUCCAACCAUCUGGCCACUGGGAGGAUAACUGGCUGAGACAGCAAAUACCGUGAUUGCAAGAAGGCCCGGCUGAUCCUGCUGCCCGUCUGUGCACCAACCCAGGCCCAUCCAGGACACUGUGGCAUUGCAGUGGCCAGCUCCUGUGGGAUGCUCAGAGCCCCUCCAUUAUGGAGCGAAGGUCCUGCAGUCCAGCCCUGAGGGGCUCCAGGACCCAAAUGGCAGCCUCAGAGAUCAGUGGUCAUGCAGACAUGACUGGGACUUACAUGACUGACUCAUUCUCAGAUCUUCCCACUUGGACAGAACCACACCAGUAAAUUUCCUGAGUCUUCAACUUGCAGAUGGCAGAUUGUGCUCAAUCAGAAGCACACGCUGCAAGGACUCUGCUAUCAAUUCCUCCUGGUAUGAACCUUCUUGCUUGCAUUCAGGCUUCCUCCCAUUGGUACCCCAAAGGUCCUUGGACUCUGCCUGGAGAAUGUCAAGCAGGAGCAGGUGGGGAUCUUUCUAGAGAUCCCAACUGCAGAGAAUUACCAGCUCCACCUGCUUCCAAAAGGACACUGACUUCAGGGACGGUCACCACAUGGAGACACUGAGAGCUUUUAGACUGAAACAAAAACAUGGAUUGACAAUGAAGAUCUCAUUGCUUAUCCAAUACUCUUGGAAUAAAUCAAGUGGGAGUGCCUAGAAAAGACAGUCGAGUGUAAGGUAAAUGGUCAUGGUGCAGGGGUGACUCUGAGUCCUUCGUUAGAGAGCCAAGAGUUCUUUCCACUAUGAACUUUUGGACUCUCUGCUGCUCUGCUUCUGCACUAUGUUGGCUCAUACAUCCCUCUUCUUUUCUCCUUGGCAUCAUUGAUGGAUUUUAUGAAUGUUUCCAAAGGUGGGCUCCCAGCUUAAUUGGGAGUUGGUCCUGGGCAUCUUUACAUACCACGUCAUGGCAAAGAGGGCAGCUCUUUAGGCUCUGACUGCCAUCUCACCCCAUGAAAGGGGCCCAUAUUAGGAAUGCCAGAGGAGUGUGGGCAUCUGAAGUUGUGUUUUGUUUAUAGUCACAGAGCUGCCCGGAUCCCAGGCAAAAUCCAGUUUCCCAAGUCCCAGAGAUGCUGACUGUUCCUGCUUCCGUGCUCUCUCCAGAAUAAUUCAGACACUGCUUGGGAAGAAUUCAGAGCUUCCUCAAGUCCCAGGUGGUCACAAGACUUCCUAGUGAAGACAUCUAUCUUGGGGAAGAAGGUUGAGGAUGACAUUUGAGGGGAUCAGGCAAGAAAUUGGUUCCUUAAAAAAACAAUUGGGAUCCUAUUUUUGGCUUUUACUCCAACCAUCUGUUAUGGGCUGCAUUGUCUCCCCAAAUUUAUAUGUUGAGUUCUAACCUCUAGGAGGACCCUAAGGUGACCAUAUAUGGGGGUAGGGGUUUUAAGGAAGCAAAUAGGGUAAAGUUAGGUCACUGGGCUGGUCCCUAAUCUGAUGUGACUGGUGGUGCCCUAAUAAGAGGAGAUGGGGAUACAGAAACAGACAUGAGCAUAUGAGGACUUAGGGAGAGGAAAGUGUUCUACACACCAGGGUGAAGCCUCAGAAGAACCAGCCCUGCCCAUGUCUGCCUCUCAGACUUCCAGCCUCCAGGACUGGGAGAGAGAAAUCUUUGUGUUUUAAACUAUCCAAUCUGUGAUUCUUUGUUAUGGCAGCUGAAGCAGACUGAUACACCAUCCCAAUACAUACAGAAAACGAAGGACUAACAUUAAUUUCAUUAAUUCUGCUCUGGAAGUGGAUAUGCUUGGUGAGGUGUCCCUGAUGCUUUAUCACCACUGUAGGCUCAGGUGCUCUGGAACUAUAGCAAUACUCAGGGAGGAGGUGGCCAGGCUGGGUCUGGUCUCCCAGCCUUGACAGGCAAAGGGGAUGAGGUGGUUCCUCUUGCACUGGUCUCAUCUUGCUACAAACUCCCCACCUUUCUAGGAAGAACCUUUCUGGACAGGACUGGGUGUGUGCCCUGGGCUGCCUCUUGCGGUCCUCCCUGACCUGGGCUAGGGAUUGGGUC